UGGCCCUUGGAACAGGUCCGUCGGGCCUGGGGUUAAAAAAUAAUAAAACAAUGCAACUUGUUGAGGUGCUAAAUUUAUUCGGGAACAUGGAUUUUAUAGUGGAGGAAUGGCCCUUG
rnacentral:rRNA from 2 species